rnacentral:rRNA from 1 species
UACAGAGGGGGCAAGCGUUGUUCGGAAUUACUGGGCGUAAAGGGCGCGUAGGCGGCCCGCUAAGUCGAACGUGAAAUCCCUGGGCUCAACCCAGGAACUGCGUCCGAUACUGGCAGGCUUGAAUCCGGGAGAGGGAUGCGGAAUUCCAGGUGUAGCGGUGAAAUGCGUAGAUAUCUGGAGGAACACCAAUGGCGAAGGCAGCACUCUGGGACGUGACUGACGCUGAGACGCGAAAGCGUGGGGAGCAAACAGG